rnacentral:misc_RNA from 1 species
UACGGAGGGUGCAAGCGUUGUCCGGAAUCAUUGGGUGUAAAGGGUGCGCAGGCUGGCGCCUAAGUCGGAGGGGAAAUCUUGCCGCUUAACGGUAAAAUUGCCCCCGAUACUGGGUGUCUUGAAUCUGACAGAGGUCGGUGGAAUUCGUGGUGUAGCGGUGAAAUGCAUAGAUAUCACGAAGAACAUCAGUGGCGACGGCGACCGGCUGGGUAAGUAUUGAGGCUGAAGCACGAGAGCGUGGGGAGCGAACAGG